rnacentral:rRNA from 1 species
AACGAACGCUGGCGGCAGGCUUAACACAUGCAAGUCGAGCGCCCCGCCAGGGGAGCGGCAGACUGGUGAGUAACGCGUGGGAACGUACCUUUUGGUUCGUCACAACUCCGUGAAACUGGAGCUAAUACCGGAUAAGCCCUAACGUGGUAAGACUUAUCGCCGAAAGAUCGGCCCGCGUCUGAUUAGCUAGUUGGUGAGGUGACGGCGCACCAAGGCGACGAUCAGUAGCUGGUCGGAGAGGAUGAUCAGACACACUGGGACUGGGACGCGGCCCAGAAUCCUACGGGAGGCAGGAGUGGGGAAUAUUGGAAAAUGGGCGCAAGCAAGAUCGAGCCAGGCCGCGUGAGUGAUGAAGGCCUUAGAGUAGUAAAGCUCUUUUGUCCGGGAAGAUAAUGACUGUACCGGAAGAAUAAGCCCCGGCUAACUUCGUG